AUUGGGUUAUAGAUCCACCUGCGAGAGGUGGGUAGCCUUAACCGGAUGUGUUAACAGGGAAGCCCGAAGGCUGUUCCCGACCCUGUCAGGGGAGAUGCCAACCAUCUCUCCUUUAAUCGAACACAACGUGACGGAUGUUAACUUUAUAUCAUAUAAAAGAAAUUAAUUGACAAAUUUUUCGAUGUGGGAUGUACCAAAAUAGAACCUUACAUCUCCGGGCUUUCCGCUCCCAUUUCCACUCUCCUGUAAUUCUCUAAUCCCGAACGAAAAUGGCUACAGAUCGAAACGGUGAGCUAUUUACUAAGAGAGGAAGUUCCGAUAACGACGAGACCAGCGAAGGAAGAGGAGAAGAAGAGAACGGUGCUAGGUCAAAGAGAAAUUCCGACAAAGAUCGUGAAAAUUUGAGCUCCAAUUGACGAAAACGCAGGAAAUCAGUUCGGAUUCCGAUGAUAAGCAUGACAAGAAACGUGGAAUGAGUUCAAGAAGAAGGCGCACAUCCCGUAAACGACACGGUAGUAGCGAGAAGGAUUCUGAUUCCGAGGAUACCGAAUUUGAUAGCUUGGAGUAUGAUUUGAAGAGGAGGAGGAAGAGAAACGGAGGAAGGAGAAGAAGGAACGAGGAAAGAAAGGAGCAGUGACGAAUUCGUGCGGAAAGUACAACAUUAUCAAAGAAACUGAUACCUGAUUGCAUACUUUCAAUGGAUUUGAAUUAAUUAAAACCAAAUUAGUUUGUCGAGAAACGCAAGAAGACUUCCAAGACUUGAUCCAGAUAACCCACUUUUGAUGUUUAUGGGACUCAUAUUACUUUCGUAGUGUGCCUAUUCGUUUGAUUGAACAUGAAUGUCUACCAAGGUGGGAAGAAUUUAUGAUCUAACUGCUUUGGUAGCUGUGGUAUUGUUGCUGAUCAUAUUACUUUGAAUAUUACAUUGCUUUUAGGUGAACAUGGGAAGUCUAGCGAAUUGGGAUGAGAAGCUAAGUUUUUGAGCAGUAAGUAGACGAACUGAUCAUGUUUAGUUUGCUCCUCACAGUCGUUACUUGUGAGAUCCCACAUCAGUUGGAGAGGGGAACGAAGCAUUCCUUAUAAGGAUUCAUGGAGGACCUUACACGGCCACUUUUCCAUCCGAAAAAGCAAAAACUACUCAUAGAGCGAACAAGCUCGACUCGGAGAGGAGAUGGCUUACCAGUAUAAGCUUGGAAACUUUGAGGUUGGCAUAAAUGUGAACGAAGUUUUCCUGUAGUUUAAUUUGAUGCAAUCUCGGGCUAGUUCCUCGAGUUUUUGCUACAUCUUAAUUCAGGCUGCAGCUGCCAUCCAGCAAAGAUUGGACCCAGAUAUUGCCCUGUGAGAG